AACGAACGCUGGCGGCAUGCCUAACACAUGCAAGUCGAACGAGAUCCUAGCUUGCUAGGUGAGAGUGGCGGACGGGUGAGUAACACGUGGGAAUCUGCCUUUUGGUUCGGGAUAACCGCGGGAAACUGCGGCUAAUACCGAAUGCCCUCGAGAGAGGAAAGAUUUAUCGCCCAAGGAUGAGCCCGCGUCGGAUUAGCUAGUUGGUGAGGUAAAGGCUCACCAAGGCGACGAUCCGUAGCUGGUCUGAGAGGAUGAUCAGCCACACUGGGACUGAGACACGGCCCAGACUCCUACGGGAGGCAGCAGUGGGGAAUAUUGGACAAUGGGCGAAAGCCUGAUCCAGCAAUGCCGCGUGAGUGAUGAAGGCCUUAGGGUUGUAAAGCUCUUUUACCCGGGAUGAUAAUGACAGUACCGGGAGAAUAAGCCCCCGGCUAACCUCCGUGCCAGCAGCCGCGGUAAU
rnacentral:rRNA from 1 species